rnacentral:lncRNA from 1 species
UUUGGUAUUUCCGCGAGUUUAAUCAUCCCCGUCAAUCGUCAUCUACUUACUUCCUUUACCGCUUCCGUCGCCGCUCAAGGGCUACCUUCCUGCCGUCAGGGUGCCUGCGUCGCUGACGAUUUCACCGCCUCAAAACUCCAUCGAUAUAUCCAUGGCUACAAAGAUACGAUCUCCACAGCUUCGCUUCGGAAAACAUACGGAAGAAGCGAAAUGAAGAAGGGGAUGACUUGAGAUAUCAGUGUGAUGGACUAAUUCUCAUUUUCAGUUCCUUAAAUGUACUUUCUUAUCAAAUACUUGCCGGUGCUAGUCUAUUAACUCGAUAGCCAUCUUGGAGAAAUGGUAGAGAAUCACCAGGCAAGGUAAACUAUUUGAGUAAUUUCAACGUUUUAAGGAAUUUGUUUGGUGGUUUGUGCCUCUGUUGUGCCAGUUUACUCAUCUUCUCUACUCUUCAUCUUACCCAUUACGAUGCGGAGCACGUAACACAAGAGCAUAUGAUAAGCUGCUUAAGGGGGGAGGGAUUAGUGAAAGCUCUGAAUUUCUCAAAGCCAUGGAAAGACGGUUAGUGUAAUAGUACUCCUUAGUAGAACCUCUAUUUCAAAAGUACAAGUUAUGGAUUUUGUUGUCAAAUGGGUUGGAAGGGUAUGCUAGAUGUGCCUUAGGUUUAUGAAAAUGGUUAAAACCUCUUUGUUCCUAGCUUUUCAGAUAAGUCUGCUGGGCAAGAGAGCUGCAAAUCUCAUAGGAGAAACUUCUCCAAAGUCUUAAAUUUCAUUUUCUAUGAGCUCCAGAAGAUUGGUUUUUGAACCCUUAGAUGUCCAGGAAAGAAAAAUUGCAAUAAUCCCUGCUGCAUACAUUUAGGAUCUUGUCUCAUAGUGUCCAGCCCGAAGAUUAUCAUUCGAUAGGAGUUGUAGUGCUGGAGCAACAAAUUUUGCACCACUUAGUAUAACUCCUACUGGUGUAUGCUACAGAGUAUCUACAUGACAAGUUUGUCUAGCAUUGCUUAAUUUCCUCUUUAUUUUAGCUAAACUUUACUCACUUGCCAUAUUCUGUCUCUGGUUAGGCAACAUCAAGCUGCAGUAUUAUUACUUCCCAACUUCUUUGUUUUCUAAUUCUUCAUAUUUGCAAGUAUUUUCAAUGUUUAUAGUUUAUGAGUUGCCAAUAACUCCUUUGUAGCACUUUGGCUAGGGUUAGAUAUGUAUGUAUUAUAUUGUGUACUAACUCUCACAGAUUAAGUAGGAGAAUACUCGUCUUCUAAACUUAUAUGGUAUCAGAAUUUAGUUAGGCAGUGUUGUAGAUCACAGCAACACAUGACUGGCAGCGUUAGGUCUCGAGUUUCCAGCAGUUUGCACAACUACCACUGAUUGCCAUCAGAUUUAGAUCACAGCAACACGUAUGACUGGUAGUGACUGCCUACCACGGUCACAGUAUGUUAAGUUAUAGAUUUGAGCUCGUAGCAAGAUCGGUUAACUGAUUGGAGCAAGGACCAAGCUGGACAAAACUGGUGAUGGUCUCCCUGCAGAGAAUAGUAUGGUCAUGACAUGGCUGGUCAACUCGGAGACAAUUACUUGGUAUAUUUUUCCACAAAGGAACUCUGGGACUACGUUGCUGAAAUCUACUAACAUGUUUGGAAUCAGUCUCGGGUUUAUGAGAUGGAUUGAACGUGAGGAUUUGUGUCUAGCUAGGUAUUUCAAUAGACUGAAGCGAAUGUUGCAAGAUAUCGUUUCAUUCAAUGACUAUGAAUGGUCUUCAAUAGAUGAUCAAAAGUAUUACAGUCAAUACUUUCAAUACUAAGAGUGUGUUUGAAUUCCUUCUCAUCUUAGUUAGAAUAUCCAUCCUCAUUUACUAUGAACUUCAAUGAGAUAUAACUGACUAACAACAUAAAGAAAACAUAUGCAAUACUAACUCAAAACUAAACACAAACAUACAUAAACUGUGUUGUUAAUGUAAAAUUCACGCCCACAUGGCUAUCAUGGACAUUACACCUGACCCGAUAAGGAGUGCAGUGUUGGAGGAGUUUACUGGCCUGCACCCCAGCGUUCAUGAAAUCGGAUACUAGCACAUCCACCAACACCAUGUAUA